AAACCAACAGGGAUUGCCUUAGUAGCGGCGAGUGAAGCGGCAAAAGCUCAAAUUUGAAAUCUGGCGCCUUCGGUGUCCGAGUUGUAAUUUGAAGAUUGUAACCUUGGGGUUGGCUCUUGUCUAUGUUUCUUGGAACAGGACGUCACAGAGGGUGAGAAUCCCGUGCGAUGAGAUGCCCAAUUCUAUGUAAGGUGCUUUCGAAGAGUCGAGUUGUUUGGGAAUGCAGCUCUAAGUGGGUGGUAAAUUCCAUCUAAAGCUAAAUAUUGGCGAGAGACCGAUAGCGAACAAGUACAGUGAUGGAAAGAUGAAAAGAACUUUGAAAAGAGAGUGAAAAAGUACGUGAAAUUGUUGAAAGGGAAGGGUUUGAGAUCAGACUCGAUAUUUUGUGAGCCUUGCCUUCGUGGCGGGGUGACCCGCAGCUUAUCGGGCCUGCAUCGGUUUGGGCGGUAGGAUAAUGGCGUAGGAAUGUGACUUUACUUCGGUGAAGUGUUAUAGCCUGCGUUGAUGCUGCCUGCCUAGACCGAGGACUGCGAUUUUAUCAAGGAUGCUGGCAUAAUGAUCCCAAACCGC
rnacentral:rRNA from 1 species